CUGACCUGCCCACUGAAUAUUGUUUGAAGGGCCGCAGUAUUUUGACUGUGCAAAGGUAGCAUAAUCAUUAGUCUUUUAAUUGAAGGCUGGUAUGAAUGGUUGGAUGAGAUACRAGCUGUGUCAWAAAAAUUAAUAUUUGAAUUUACCUUUUUAGUCAAAAGGCUAAAAUAAUCUUAAAAGACGAGAAGACCCCGUAGAGUUUUAUAUAAUUAAUAUUUAAAUUAUUAAGAUUUUUAAWAUUUAAUUAUUAAAUUAUAUUUUGUUGGGGUGACAAUAAAAUUAAUAAAACUUUUAUUUUUAAUUAACAUUGAUUUAUGAGUAAAUGAUCCAGUUUUAUUGAUUAUAAAUUUAAGUUACCUUGGGGAUAACAGCGUAAUUUUUUUUGAGAGUUCUUAUCGACAAAAAAGAUUGCGACCUCGAUGUUGGAUUAAGAGUAAUUUUGGGUGUAGAAGUUCAAAGUNUUAAGUCUGUUCGACUUUUAAAUUCUU
rnacentral:rRNA from 1 species